GACGAACGCUGGCGGCGUGCUUAACACAUGCAAGUCGAACGGAAAGGCCCUGCUUUUGUGGGGUGCUCGAGUGGCGAACGGGUGAGUAACAAGUGAGUAACCUGCCCUUGACUUUGGGAUAACUUCAGGAAACUGGGGCUAAUACCGGAUAGGAGCUCCUGCUGCAUGGUGGGGGUUGGAAAGUUUCGGCGGUUGGGGAUGGACUCGCGGCUUAUCAGCUUGUUGGUGGGGUAGUGGCUUACCAAGGCUUUGACGGGUAGCCGGCCUGAGAGGGUGACCGGCCACAUUGGGACGGAGAUACGGCCCAGACUCCUACGGGAGGCAGCAGUGGGGAAUAUUGCACAAUGGGCGGAAGCCUGAUGCAGCAACGCCGCGUGCGGGAUGACGGCCUUCGGGUUGUAAACCGCUUUCGCCUGUGACGAAGCGUGAGUGACGGUAAUGGGUAAAGAAGCACCGGCGAACUACGU
rnacentral:rRNA from 1 species